rnacentral:rRNA from 1 species
CGCAGGCGGGUUAGCAAGUCAGAGGUGAAAUCCUACAGCUUAACUGUAGAACUGCCUUUGAGACUGCUAAUCUUGAGUAAGGAAGAGAGAGACGGAAUUCCAGGUGUAGUGGUGAAAUACGUAGAUAUCUGGAAGAACACCAGUGGCGAAGGCGAUCUCUUGGUCCUUUACUGACGCUAAGGCGCGAAAGCGUGGGGAGCAAACA